rnacentral:tRNA from 1 species
AGGGUUGUGGCUCAGUGGUAGAGUGCUCGCCUAGCAUGUGAGAGGCCCUGGGUUCGAUCCUCAGCACCACAU